rnacentral:rRNA from 1 species
UUGUGCCUACGGGAGGCAGCAGUGGGGGGUAUUGCACAAUGGGGGGAACCCUGAUGCAGCGACGCCGGGUGGGUGAAGAAGCGCCUCGGCGCGUAAAGCCCUGUCAGCAGGGAAGAAAAUGACGGUACCUGAAGAAGAAGCCCCGGCUAACUACGUGCCAGCAGCCGCGGUAAUACGUAGGGGGCAGGCGUUAUCCGGAUUUACUGGGUGUAAAGGGGGCGCAGACGGCGAUGCAAGCGAGGAGUGAAAGCCCGGGGCCCAACCCCGGGACUGCGCUUGGAACUGCGUGGCUGGAGUGCAGGAGG